AUUCCCAGCUCUGACAUAUAUUUUAAGUUCCCUUCCAGUUCCGACAGUGUAUGUUCCAGAGUUCUAAGGAUACUCUUGGGUCCCUCCCAGCCUAGAAUACAUUCUGUAUUCCAAAGUCCCCUGGCAUUUUGAAGAGAUCGCUGGAUUUGGAAUCAAGAACAUCUGAACUGGAAUCCUGCCUCAGAUUCUUACCAGCAGCGUGAGCCUGGCCAAAUCACCAUCUCUCUUGGCUCCAGUUUUCUCAUUUGUAAGAUAGAGAUAGUGAUAGAAUCUACUCCCAGGGUCUCCCUGUGAGGGUCCAAGAUCACCCAUGUAAAAAGCUUUGCAAACCUUAGAGGACCACACACACAAUUAUGAUAACAAUCUACAAUCCCUCUAGGAGUCUGGGAUAUACAGAGGUCAAUGCCCCUCCCACAUGCUCAUGCCCCUCCCUCAGCUAUAUCUACCUCUAUCUCUUCUUAAGCAAAAGCUUCUCACAGAUACAGCCUGGAGGAGCAGCGCCUAGGCACAAAAGCUCAAAGAUGAAGGCUUUCUUCCUCCUCCUCCUUCUCUGCCUCGGGGCCCUGAUCGAGAUCGAGGCUUCUAUCCCGUCAACAACCACAAAGCCUGCAGCUGGGUCAUCCCAGAUGCUCCAUGGACCCUACACCUGGAACAUCCUCAUCCUCACCGGGGUCCUCACUUACCUCCUUCAGCUGCACUGAGGCCUGGACAAGACCUAAGAGACAGCCAGCCUCAGCCCCUGAUCACCCACUGUUCAGUACCAGCCUCCUCCUGACCCUGAGAGCUCAUUCCUCUUGGCUACCGAAGACUCCUUCUCAUCGACACCUCCCUCCCUCCCCAGCUGAGCAUCCCAUGGCCUCCUCAGGAGCUCUGAUGCCCAGUGUAGCACCUGUCAUCAAGGGUCAUGGAUUUAUUUCCUUAAUAAUCCAAGGGUUAUAGUGAUGAAAGAGCAAAGUACUGACCUGCUUGUCUCAAUAAAGCUAUUAAAGCCCUGA